CUCCAGGUCAGCGAUAACUACUAUAGCACCCAUUUGAAGUUAUCGGUUCUUCCAAGGUUCAAGCAUUCAACAAUAAAUUCAUUCUUCAAUGGCCACUGCGGAGGCCACCAGAUUGUUCACACGUUGUUCAUCUUCAAGAUUCCUAAAACUAUGCAAUAGGCUCCCAAUUGAGAAAUUGGAAAUGGUUUGAGACCUUCAGUUUGGAGGUCUUCUAAACUUAAAUUUCAAGGAGAUACGACAUAAUAUAUGUCUAUGGCUAAUCGACCAUUUUAAUGUUGGCUUUAGACGCAUAAACAUAUCAUCCGACAAAAGCUAUGAUCUGACAGCUGCUGAUGUGGGCCUUGUCUUUGGCCUCUCGACAAUCGGACAGAUUCUACAAAUUGCAUCAACCCAUCUGAUUAUCCGUUCGGUACACUCAACACUUGUGAGGAGAGACUCCUCAACUUACCUAUCGGGGAGGAGUUCCGUAGAUGCUUCCUUUACUACGCGUGUGUGACGAUAUUGGCGCCAACCUCAAGGAUAGAUGGAUGCCGAAACUUGUGGCAUACCAUCCAUGAAGAUGGUUUUAGAAACGAUGUCAAUUGGGGCCAAUUUGUUGUUGACCAGCUUGUUGAGGGUAUAAGACAAUUUAAGCAACAGAAUAGUGUGUGGGUACAUGGUUGCAUCCUCUUUCUCCAGUGCCCCUCCUCUCCGCAUGGUCAGAUGAGUUGAUAAAGGAGCGCUUAGCUGCUAAGAUCAGUGAGUUUGGUAGUUUCGGACAUGGCGAGGUAGUCAUUUACUCUACAUGCAUUUUGUUAUGUAAUUUGAUGACAUGCAAAUUGAAUACUGAUUACUACUCAAAAAGUGCUAUUUUAUAGCUUUUAAUUAACUCUUUUAAACACUUUUGAGUAGUAGUUAUUACCUUUUAACCCAAUUAACAUAUUAAGGACCUUUGCAAUCAUUUCUAAUCAAAUUGUG